rnacentral:lncRNA from 1 species
UGGGAUGUCUAGUUGGGAUUGAUAGUUUCAGUCUUAUGUGCGAACUAUUCUGGACAAAUAACAUUGAUAUUCGGAAAAAUUUGGUGGGUCGGGUUCUAACAAAUGGUAGUUAACACUUGUGAAUUUAAGUAGUGCACCUAGAACUCAAGCGGUACCCAAUUGUGGUGGAGGUAUAGAUAUUCUGAGACGUCACAUUUACAUUUGCCUUAAGGGUUGCUAUGUUUUAGAGUAUCUUUUAAAAUGAUGUUUGUGGGUUACAUCACUGCAAACCCUCACGAGACAACACUCGUCCACUGGGAUAACCUAGGGGUUUAACGGCUUGUUACACAUGCUAAGUGCAAUCGUAAUGCUCUACGAAAGUGAGUAUUUAUUUUAAUUCAUGCAUAUUGAUAUAUAUUAAUAAAAAUAAACAAUACUUUUGCACCCUCAUUUUAUCAUUUUCACACUAAAUUGCUAGAGACUAGCAAUAAGCUAGUUGGGGGGUGUGAUGAGAGCACAAAAGUGAAAUCUUCAUACCAUCUUAAUUAGUAUUAUAGCUAAUCUUUAUUAAUAAAAUUGAUUAAUUAAUGUUUUAUUUGUGUUUGAGUGCAAAGUAAUACAAGAGACCCAAUAAUGCUGGGUUUGAGCCCAAUGCUCAGCAGCCCGAGCUCAACAAAUUUUCCAACGUCCGUGAUAAGGCGAUCCAACGGUUCCUAACCUAAAAUUCCCAUGCAUCCACGUCUACGGGCUGAAGCAAGUGAUUUCCCAACAUCCGCAGCAUGGGGGCUUUGAAAUUUCCCAACUUCUCAAUUGUCCGUGACCUCCCAGAACAUUCAACCGCGUUUCAACAUCCCAGCAAUUUCCCAACCGGAUCAUUCCAAGCCGAGUCCUCCACUUCCUUUACAGCAAAUAAAUUCCAGCUAUCUGAGGAGUCUUCUCAACUUCCCAAAGUCAAUGUCUUCCUAGCUUCUCAUCCCGUCUACCCGUGAAGCACAUCUCCAAUGAACAGAGCACGUGUCGCUCCC